rnacentral:lncRNA from 1 species
UUUGGUUUAGGAUUUAGGAUUUGGAUUAGAGUUUAGGGUUGGAUUAGGGUUUGGAUUAGGGUUUGGAUUAGGUUUUAGGAUUUGGUUAGGGUUUGAUUUAGGGUUUGGAUUAGGUUUUAGGAUUUGAUUAGGGUUUGAUUUAGGGUUUGGAUUAGAGUUUGGACUAGGAUUUGGUUAGGGUUUGAUUUAAGGUUUGGUUUAGAGUUUAGGAUUUGGAUUAGAGUUUAGGAUUGGAUUAGGAUUUGGAUUAGGGUUUGGAUUAGGAUUUAGGGUUUGGUUAGGAUUUGAUUUAGGGUUUGGAUUAGGGUUUGAUUAGGAUUUGAUUUAAGGUUUGAUUUAGUGUUUAAGGUUGGAUUAGGGUUUGGUUUAGGGUUUGGUUUAGGGUUUGGUUUAGGGUUUAGGGUUUGGAAUAGGGUUUAAUUUAAGAUUUAUUUAGGAUUUGACUUAGGGUUUAGGAAUUAUUAGGGUUUAAGAUUUAAUUAGGUUUGGUCUAAAGUUGAGUGAAAUUCAAUAGGGUUUUAACUAGAAUUAAAUUAAGGUUGAAUUGAUAUAUAUUUGAGUAAAAUUUUUGAUCAUUCUAAUAUUUCUUUAAGAAUUUUAUUGUUUGUUUGAAGUUUCUUUGAGUUGUUUUGAAUUUGAUUGCGUUUGUUUACCAUUAUUAUAGUUUAAUUAGAGCAUUGUUAUUAUUCUAUUUAGGAUUUUGUUAUCGCAAUUUCUAUUCUUCCUUCUACAGCCAAGUGCCCGGAGCAUUCUCAAGCAAGACUUCAUACAUUAUGACAUAUUUGGUGAACCUGACAUGAAACGCUUGAGGUGGAAGGAAUUUAUUAUUAUUUUUAUUUAUUUAUUUGAAUUUUGGAGAAAGAAUUAAAAGAGAAUGGAAGGAGGCAAUUUGGAUAGUGCUUCAAGUGGAGUUGGAAG